rnacentral:lncRNA from 1 species
AUGAAUGAAUAGGGCUGGGUAUGCUGUUGGCACAAUGCUUAACACACACAAAAUUGUGUAUCUUAAGACCCCAACACUAUAUAAAACAAGUAGAAGCCCUUAAAGAGGAAACACAAAUGUGCCUUAAAGAAUUAGAGGGAAACAACCAAACAGGUGAAGGAAUUAAACAAAACAAUUCAGGAUCUAAAACUGGAAAUAGAAACAAUAAAGAAAUCACAAAGGGAGACAAUCCUGGAGAUAGAAAAUCUAGGAAAGAGAACAGGAGUCAUACAGAAUACAAGAGAUAAAAGAGAGAAUUCAGGUGCAGAAGAUCCAUAGAAAACAUUGACACAACAGUCAAAAUGCAAAACGCAAAAAGCUCCUAACCCAAAACAUCCAGGAAAUACAGAACACAAUGAGAAGACCAAACCUAAGGUUAGUAGGAAUAGAAGAGAAUGAAGAUUUCCAACUCAAAGGGCCAGUAAAUAUCUUCAAUAAUAUUAUAGAAGAAAACUUCCCUAACCUAAAGAAAGAGAUGGCCAUAAACAUGCAAGAAGCCUACAGAAUCCCAAAUAGAUUGGACCAGAAAAGAAAUUCUUCUUGUCACAGAAGAUUCAAAACACCAAAUGCACAAAGCAAAGAAAGGAUAUUAAAAGCAGUAAGGGAAAAGGUCAAGUAACAUAUAAAGGCAGACCUGUGAGAAUUACACCAGACUUCUCAACAGAGACUAUGAAAGCCAGAAGAUCCUGGGCAGAUGUCAUACAGACCCUAAGAGAACACAAAUGCCAGCCCAUGCUACUGUACCCAGCAAAACUCUCAAUUAACAUAGAUGGAGAA